UACGAAGGGGGCUAGCGUUGCUCGGAAUGACUGGGCGUAAAGGGCGCGUAGGCGGAUGGUACAGUCAGAUGUGAAAUUCCCGGGCUUAACCUGGGGGCUGCAUUUGAUACGUGCGAUCUGGAGUGAGGAAGAGGGUCGUGGAAUUCCCAGUGUAGAGGUGAAAUUCGUUAGAUAUUGGGAAGAACACCGGUGGCGAAGGCGGCGCCUGG
rnacentral:rRNA from 1 species